GGCAGGCGGCGGCGGCGGCGCGGGAGCGGCGGCGGCCGGGACGUGCGCGGGGCGACGGGAAAGCUGAGAGCUAAGGCUUGCAAGCAGAUACGAAGCUGAAACUUCGCAGAACUGAGAGUUGAAGAAGUUUACAUGAGGCAGAGGAAGCAUUUAAAGGAACAUCUGCCUUUUUGCAUUACUGCUUCGAAUUCAGGUUGAGCUGGAGAGCUCAACAAUGCACAGUGAAAAAUGACAUGACAAGCAACAUCAUCCUUCUGAAUAUCUAACAUGAAAUUGAGGAAUCUCCUUUUCACCUCUUGCUAACUAACCAAGGAGAAGGUGCUCUUUACUUUAUGUCCCCACUUCAAUGAGGAAGAAGAAGAAAAACAAUCAAAAGAGGGAAGAAAUGCAAAAGAGAUUUCUGAAGUUUGAAAGCUUUUAAGUCAUACUUUAAAAUGGAGAUGCAAAUGAUUUAAAAAAAAAUCAUUUGUAAAGCAGUUCAGUCAAA